AACGAACGCUGGCGGCGUGCCUAACACAUGCAAGUCGAACGAGAAAGGGGCUUCGGCUCCGAGUAAAGUGGCGCACGGGUGAGUAACACGUGGGUAACCUGCCUCUAAGAUUGGGAUAACUCGUCGAAAGAUGAGCUAAUACCGAAUAAGACCACAGUUCCCGCGGGAACAGGGGUCAAAGGUAGCCCCUGCUUGCAAGCUAUCACUUAGAGAUGGGCCUGCGCACCAUUAGCUAGUUGGUAGGGUAACGGCCUACCAAGGCAAAGAUGGUUAGCUGGUCUGAGAGGAUGGUCAGCCACACUGGAACUGAGACACGGUCCAGACUCCUACGGGAGGCAGCAGUGGGGAAUAUUGCGCAAUGGGCGAAAGCUUGACGCAGCAACGCCGCGUGAGUGAUGAAGGCCUUCGGGUCGUAAAGCUCUGUCGGGAGGAACGAAUGCUCCUGAGGUUAACAGCCUCGGGAGGUGACGGUACCUUCAAAGGAAGCACCGGCUAACUCUGUG
rnacentral:rRNA from 1 species